rnacentral:rRNA from 1 species
UACGGAGGGGGCUAGCGUUGUUCGGAAUUACUGGGCGUAAAGCGCACGUAGGCGGCUUUGUAAGUUAGAGGUGAAAGCCCGGGGCUCAACCCCGGAACUGCCUUUGAAACUAGGUAGCUAGAAUCUUGGAGAGGUCAGUGGAAUUCCGAGUGUAGAGGUGAAAUUCGUAGAUAUUCGGAAGAACACCAGUGGCGAAGGCGACUGACUGGACAAGUAUUGACGCUGAGGUGCGAAAGCGUGGGGAGCAAACAGG